GAGUAGUUGGGGGAAGGCAGGACAAAUUCCAGACAUUCCUGAUAGACAACGAAGUUCCCCUAUGAAGAGGCUAAAAUCCUAAGUGGUAAGAGUGAGACUGUAAGUGGAGGAGGAGGCACAAACGGGAACUGGAUUGAGGUGGGAGCAGGUAGAGUGAGAGUCUCAAACAUGUGCAGUAACUGACGGAAUAGCCCCUUAUGACAUACAGCCUGAUGCCUGGUGAGGAGGUGUGCCAGGCUGAAUGAAGACACCAGGUGAGACCGGCCCCACCUGCUGAUGGGGCUGGGUAACACAGCCUGCUUUAUUCCACCUGGAUGGCCUCCGAACCUUCAAGACACCUUGGUUAAUAACGGGAAUCUCUGCAUCUGCCGCCGCACUGCAUGGGGCUGGGGAGAUCAGAGAGAAAAGAGUUAGGCUGAAGCACUAAAUACUAGUCUCUCAUAAUUUCCGGAUCUACAUUUUACAUGACUUGGCGUGUUUGACCAUGUCGUACUUGUAAAUGGUUACCUCAGUUAUUUUUGGACAUCCAGGAAGAAAGGGGAAAAAUGUAGCUCAGUACCUACUGGGUUUCUACCUGGGGAGAAUUCUGGACAAAUGUUUUUAACCUGGAUUGGGACAAUAGUGGUAUGGCUGUCUUGACUGUUUUCCUUGCCUCUUGCUACCACCUUGGCUGAUUGAGACCUCUUUGAAGCUUCUAUACUUGUGAAGAUUUAUCUUAUUCUUAUAGAAAGAUUCCCAAUAUGGGAAUUCCCAGCAAGUAAACUUGUGACUCAGAGGAGCUGCCCAGCUAUUAUUCUAUGGAACCCAGGGAAAGAAAUCCUAGCUCAGCCACACACAGAGCAGCAUCUACUGGAAAUGCCUCCUUCUUGGAAAUGGAGUACCGGGCCUUUGCUGGUGCUUGUGUGGUGGUGCUGGAGAGCCAUUGAAGGAUUUUAUGCUAGAGCCUCAUGUAAUAGGAUUAGCCUUUGGAAAGAUCUUCCUGGCUGCCAUGUGGAGGCUGGCCCAGAGCUGCACGGUACAGGAAGCAGGAAGUCUCGUCUCAGAGACCAGCAAGCGGGCCAUGGUGUGAUUUCAGUCAGAGGUAGGGAGGGCCUGAACUAGGACCGAAGAUGCUAAUGUGGAUUUGAGAGCUCAUUGGGUGGGAAAGUAUGUGUUGGGUUACUGAAGAAUAGGGAAAAUAAUACAACUUUGACUUAAGAAAUGGGCUUUGCUAAACAAAUCUUUUCACAAACUGGUCUCCUAGAAAGGGCUCUGAAGGCACAGCUAACCAAACAACUAUACCUCCCAGGCAAGAGUUUCCCCACCAGGUGAAUGGUUUGCCAUGUUUCCAGUUCCAGGAACUAGCUGGAAUAACACUUAUGCAAUGGGAAUGCACGAGGCCCACCUCCAGGAGCCUGGCUGGUGGAGAACUUGGCAAGACUGGAGUCCUCUGCGGAGUGGAAACUCCUGCUGUUCUGCUUCAAGUGAACUUUCCUUGGAUGGCUGACUUCAGAGGAAGUCAGAACGGGCUGCGUGGAAGGCUGCAUGGAUCUGGGCCUGGAGCCACUGGCAAAGAGGAGCCGGGGAUGGGUGGGAGAGUACGAUAGCCCUUCAUGAACAAGUCUAUGGUAGAGGAAGCAGAAGACACUGUGUUGGUAGGAAACCCUGCUGUCUUUCCCAGAUUGAAGAGUCGUAACUUUCUAACAAAUACAGCUCCCAGAUGGUUGGGGAGGUGGAAGGAAGGCAGAAGGCCAACUAUCAAAUAAAAGGACAAAUAAAGAAUACACUUAUAACGAUAGAACCAUGCUCAAUUUAUGCAUCUAGGGAUAUACGGUGAAUAGAGCUUCUGAAUAUUUCCAAACCAAAUCAUUCUCAAAACCUCAAGGAGGUUUCUUAUUUACAGGUAUCCCAGUGUGAGUCUUUUUGUAAAAUUGAUGCUGCUACUGAUUAUCAUACAGUGUUACCAAAUCACCAGGGGCUCUUAAAGGAAAGAGAUUAUUUGUGUAUCUUCAGAAACUCUUUGGCACUCUUUCUUUUUUAUUAAGUAGAAUUGUUUUUUCUUCAGCUGUUAGCUCUUUCUAGGGACCUGAUGGGCUCCCUCUUUUGUGCACACAUGUAAAAGGCACGACAUGGAGGACCUGUAUGGGUGGCCAGGAGGUAGGAGUUCACCACUGAGUGUGGAUGUUUUGUGACAAAUGCAAGUAUGUAGGAUAAAUGCUGAGACAAGAAGUCUCCCUUUGCUUGCUCUCCACCCUGGCUAUGUGGGAGAGGAUUCCGGAUUACAACCACCACCCUUAGAAUACUAAAACCACGUUCUUCAGGCAACAGCCUAAAAGUCUUCCCACCUAACUCACCACAGGAUUCUUGGUCUUAGACAAAGCGUUCUUGCAAGAAUUAAUCAGAACAUUCCUCACAAGCCUCCUGCACUAGCUUCAUGCUAUCUGCCGCCUCUCCGUCAGCACCCUAUGCCAUUAGGUAGGAGCAUCCAGGGGACGCAAACACUACUGCCCUCAUGCCAUUCAGAAGCGGGACUCACUUAUCCAUCAAGGUGGCACCCAGUGCUAAUUUAGGCAAUUAUAGAUGAUCGGUUUUCAAAUUUUUGUGACCAUGUAACUGGGAAAUUCACUCUUACUUUAUAAGGUUAAAAAGGACUAAAAAGUUUUCCCACUGGAUCUCACCAUUGGGUUCUUUCCCAAUGGCCCUCCAUUCCUUCACAAGAAGAAUGGUCUAGCUUUGAAUUUUGGUGCUUUUUAUUCUGAAGGAAGUGGGGUUACUUGAUUUGUUGGAGGGCUUUAGUUGGCUCACUUGCUAAGUGUAGAGAGCCUCCUUCUCACUAAGAUAGAUAGACAGAAGAACUUUGCAAACUGAGAAGCGCUUUUCUAAGUCUACGUUGUAUUCUCAUGGUACCAUUUCCCCAAGGACUCGUGGAAUACCCAGAUACAAGCAUGACUGUGGCUGCUUUAUUUUCCCAAUUUCCCUAUAGCCUGGCAGGCAAGGGAGCAAGAGCAAGAGCUGGACCAAAAACUUCUGGUUUAGCCAGAACACCUUUCCUGUGGCCGUCAGAUAAUGAAGAUGCAAGGCUUGAGAGAGGAACACAGACAAGGAUGUAGCCACAGCCAUCUCCUGGCAACAUUGUCUUAGAAGUGAAAGAGCCAGAGGAAGGGGCUAAGAGAGCUCACCCAGACCCAAGACACUCCCAGGCCCCAAACCGUCUGCAGAUGGUCACAGUCCCACCUUUUCAGCAUUCCCUGGCACAAUGUGUCCUCUGGCCAGUGCACAGCUUCCUUAGCUGUGUCCAAUUUUUCAGAAACACCAAAAAUUCCUUUUCCAGCAAGCAGGAAUGACAGAAGGGAACACCUAAACCAUAUUUCUCUUGUAGUUAAGGCUGACUAAGGACUGCGUUAUCUAAGAUGAAAAAUACUACUGGUUUGCUUUGCCCUUUUCCCUAGCGCUUAUAGUGAAGUAAUCUUUUUUGAGCCCUGGCUCAUAGGCUG
rnacentral:lncRNA from 1 species